rnacentral:rRNA from 1 species
UACGUAGGGUGCAGGCGUUAAUCGGAAUUACUGGGCGUAAAGGGCGCGUAGGCGGCCACCGCAAGUCGACUGUGAAAUCUCCGGGCUUAACUCGGAAAGGUCAGCCGAUACUGCGGGGCUAGAGUGCAGAAGGGGCAACUGGAAUUCUCGGUGUAGCGGUGAAAUGCGUAGAUAUCGAGAGGAACACCUGCGGCGAAGGCGGGUUGCUGGGCUGACACUGACGCUGAUUGUGCGAAAGCUAGGGGAGCGAACGGG